rnacentral:rRNA from 1 species
AUUGAACGCUGGCGGCAGGCCUAACACAUGCAAGUCGAACGAGUGGCGGACGGGUGAGUAAUGUCUGGGAAACUGCCUGAUGGAGGGGGAUAACUACUGGAAACGGUAGCUAAUACCGCAUACCAUCAGAUGUGCCCAGAUGGGAUUAGCUUGUUGGUGGGGUGACGGCUCACCAAGGCGACGAUCCCUAGCUGGUCUGAGAGGGUGACCGUCCACACUGGGACUACGACACGGGACAGACUCCUACGGGAGGCGGCAGUGGGGAAUAUUUCACAAGGGGCGCAAGCCUGAUGCAGCCAUGCCGCGUGUAUGCAGAAGGCCUUCGGGUUGUAAGGUACUUUCAGCAGGGAGGCGUUACCCGCAGAAGAAGCACCGGAUAACUCCGUGCCAGCAGCCGCGGUAAUAC